UACGUAGGGACCGAGCGUUGUCCGGAAUCAUUGGGCGUAAAGAGCGUGUAGGCGGCUUGUAAAGUCUUGCGUGAAAUCUCGGGGCUCAACCCCGAGCGGUCGUGAGAAACUGGCAGGCUAGAGUGCGGGAGAGGAGAGUGGAAUUCCUGGUGUAGCGGUGAAAUGCGCAGAUAUCAGGAAGAACACCAACGGCGAAGGCAGCUCGCUGGGACGGAACUGACGCUGAGGCGCGAAAGCGUGGGGAGCGAACAGG
rnacentral:rRNA from 1 species